CCAUUUCCUGAGAAUAGAGAGAACCUGGCAAUGGGUGCCAGGAAGAGGGCACUUCGAGGUGUGCCCAGGCCUGGAGGGUCACAGACACAGGCACCACACAGCAGAGAUGCUGAGGGCCAGGAGCUCACUCAGGUGAGGGGCUUCCGCACAUCUCUCUCUCCUGAGCAAACCAUGUGCAAAGAAAUCAACUUCCUGUCAUCAGAAUAGACAAUCAGGGACUUUAGUCUCCUUGGCUAAGCCCCGCUGUCUAGGGAAGCAGAAGUCUCUGAGCCCAGGCCCAGGUGAGGGUGGGGUGAGGAGAGGAGCUCAGGGGGCAGAUUUGCAUGGAGGCCGCACCCUCCUCUGAGGCAGAGGGGAUAAGACAGGGCUGGGGGCAGGCCCAGAGCUGGGGUCUCAGGAGGCAGCACUCUCGGGACGUCUCCACCAUGGCUUGGGCUCUGCUCCUCCUCACCCUCCUCACUCAGGGCACAGGGUCCUGGGCUCAGGCUGCCCCGACUCAGUCUCCCUCUGUGUCUGGGUCUGCUGGACAGUCGGUCACCAUCUCCUGCACUGGAACCAGCAGUGACAUUGGUGGUUAUAACCGUGUCUCCUGGUACCAACAGCACCCAGGCAAAGCCCCCAAACUCAUGAUUUAUGAGGUCAGUAAGCGGCCCUCAGGGGUCUCUGAUCGCUUCUCUGGCUCCAAGUCUGGCAACACGGCCUCCCUGACCAUCUCUGGGCUCCAGGCUGAGGACGAGGCUGAUUAUUACUGCAGCUCAUAUGCAGGCAGCAACACUUUCCACAGUGGUCCAAGUUCAUGGGGAACUGAGACCAAAACCUGCCCUGGGCUCUCAGGUUCCCUUUUUGUUCUGAAGAUGCUUCCUCAACUGGUGCAAGCGGCUUCCUGUAGCACGGCCUUGACAAUUCUCAGCUCCUCUCCUUCCCUACUAUGAAGUCCAAAAGAAAACUUGCACUGUGGUUUCUCUUCUGGGACAGUUGAUAGUUUCCUGAUGAUUGUGUGUUGUGGUCCCUGAAUUGCAACUCUUCUCAGCUCUUCAAAUGCAGGGGACAGUGACAAGGAGCUGUCUGAUUCCCUGCUGUUUUCAGGAACAUCCUCAUCCUAAAAGCAUCCCCGCCUUCCUCGCUGUGGAGACCAAUCUGGACAGGAGUCAUUAGAGGGAGUUUCCAGAAAUUGCAUCUUACUCCACUCUGUGUCCUCCAUGCUCUUGUGAAGAUGGCCCUCCUGGCUGGGCUAUUACUCUGCACCUCUGUCCGGAGGCAGUGACCACUGAGGGAAGAUCUCAAGAUGUUUCUGAGAAAUUAGUAACAAAGAGGAAGCUGUUGUUUUUCUUAUUUCUGCUCCUCCUCUUUGCCCCAAUACCUCAGGUUGCUGAGCUAGGAGAUUUUGAGU